UUCUGGCUCAGGAUGAACGCUGGCGGCGUGCCUAACACAUGCAAGUCGAGCGGAGAUGUCACACCGGAAGAAGAUUCGUCUGAAUCCACCGUGACAUUCUUAGCGGCGGAUGGGUGAGUAACACGUGGACAACCUACCCAGGACAGGGGGAUAACAACCGGAAACGGGUGCUAAUACCGCAUAGAUUGUCGGACCGCAUGAUCUGACAAGGAAAGAUUUAUCGGUUCUGGAUGGGUCCGCGUCGGAUUAACUAGUUGGUGAGGUAACGGCCCACCAAGGUGAUGAUCCGUAGCCGGCCUGAGAGGGCGACCGGCCACAUUGGGACUGAGACACGGCCCAGACUCCUACGGGAGGCAGCAGUGGGGGAUAUUGCACAAUGGGGGAAACCCUGAUGCCAGCGACGCCGCGUGAAGGAGGAAAUACUUCGGUAUGUAAACUUCUAUCAGCAGGGAAGAAGAUGACGGUACCUGACUAAGAAGCCCCGGCUAAAUACGUGCCAGCAGCCGC
rnacentral:rRNA from 1 species